GAGUUUUUUUUCUGCUUAAAUUAUACCACUGUGGACUGCAGAGCUUGUAUCUUCAGACGUUCCUCAAUGAUGGAUAUAUUUUCCAUAUUCAUAAGAGAAAUCCCUGGCUGGUUUCUCAUAUUUGGAAUUUUCCUUCCUUUUGCUUUGCUUUUGAUUCUGUUUAUAUCUUAUCUGAACUGGAAGCUUAAAGAAGUGAAUGAUGAGCUGGCUGUGGUUGUGGACCCCAGGGAGAGAGCUUAUGAGCUGUGCUUUGGAUCAGCAUCAUCAAGGCCGAAACACAGGACCAGGCUGCACCCACACACCUGACCUACACCCCAGAAGCAGCGGGCUCCAAGCUUGCAGGCGGCCAGGCAGAAUUGCAGGGCUUCUCUCAUCCUGGGAAGGGGAGUCCAGAUGACGCACAGAAGAGAUCCUUAGGGAGACUUGAAGAGCAGAGAGAUGGCUGAUGACUGUGAACCAGAUUCUAAUGGAAUCACUGUAUCUGGCUCAUGAAUAGCUGAAGUACACAAAUCCAGUAGGAUUUCACAACAGAAGAUCAGGAAAAGCGUCAGAAACUAAAAAUUAUAAUCUUGAACAGUUUACAGCAAGCCUUCAGUAAAUAUAACUGUUUAUGCAUCACCUGAGCUAGUGUGUGAUAUACGAGACUAGUGAACAACAAUUCCCUGAAUCAAGUAUUGUGUUCUUAAAGGAAUCUUAAACAUAACUUUGUCCAAGCAGUUUUAUAUGAUGUAGUAAGCUGACAUAAAUGUCCAUAUACUGUGAUGCAAUAUUGUGUUCAACCAGAAUUUAAUGGACUUAUGCCCAGGAAAAAAAAAAGAUGGUAACAAAUAUUUAAGAUCCCUAAAAGGAAGUUUUGACCAAAACAUAAAAUCCCUGCUGCAAAAGAUAUAUCAUCCAAAAAAAAUGUUUGUGGUUGUAAAAUAAUGUAUUAUAUUGUAUAUGGGACAUGCUAAAAAGAACAGAACCACUACUAUCUUUAUGCAAAAAUCGUUUAAUUCUAACUAAAGACACAUAUUUCACACAUUAAAUUAAACCACACCACACAAAUUAUUAAAGUCAAAUCCAUCCAAAUUAUAACAGCUCAUCCAGUUUAGGGUCACAUAUUCGGAAGUCACAUGAGCUGGUGCCUAUUCUGACAAGCAAUAGGUGCAAGGCAGGACACACCCUGGGUGGGAUGCCAAUCCAUCAAAGACACACACUCAUACCACAAUCAAUUUUUAUGGAAGUCAAUUAGCCUACCUGUACAUUUUUAUACUGUGGGAGGAAUCCAGAGAACCUGGAGGACACCCAUGGGAACAUGGGAAGAACAUACACAGAACUCCACACAGACAGCACCCCAGGAAUUGACCCCAGCCUUGCAAGGAAGCAAAGCUAACCACUGUGCUACCACACCACCCCAAAACACCAACAUCUUAUAGUUUAAAUAAAAAAAAGAUAUUGCUAAGACAUAAUCAAACGUUCCCAUAGAAAAAAUCAAUCUAUAUGCAUCUCCCACUUAAAAGAGCUACACAUGCAAAUGGUAUAUGUAUACUGAUCAGAGUGUAUGGACAGAAAUAAUGCAUAUAUUGAAAAGCAGACUAAAGCUUCAAUCUGAAUGCCUGAAACACAUUAGUGAAUGAAAUAAACAGGUUUGACUCUUUAUCAGCAUAAACAGAACUAUGCUGAAAUGAAUACAGUGUAUGACACUGUAAAACAAGUAAUUGGUUCUCAUGCUGAACCACUGCUUGUGUUUUAGUCAUACAGUACAGACUGUACACAACUAACAAAUUGCAUUAUAAACUCACUGAUCACUGAACACCUAGCAACCAGUAGUCAAGCUGGUUGAUGAUGUUGCCUUGAAUUGCUGCCACCUGCUUCCAUCAGAGAAGCCAUUCUUGUUGCCGUGCAACAGCAAAGGAGU